rnacentral:rRNA from 1 species
UACGGGAGGCAGCAGUGGGGAAUAUUGCACAAUGGGCGCAAGCCUGAUGCAGCCAUGCCGCGUGUAUGAAGAAGGCCUUCGGGUUGUAAAGUACUUUCAGUCGUGAGGAAGGUGUUAAGGUUAAUAACCUUAGCAAUUGACGUUAGCGACAGAAGAAGCACCGGCUAACUCCGUGCCAGCAGCCGCGGUAAUACGGAGGGUGCUAGCGUUAAUCAGAAUUACUGGGCGUAAAGAGCACGUAGGUGGUUUUUUUAAGUCAGAUGUGAAAUCCCCGGGCUUAACCUGGGAAUGGCAUUCAAGACUGGUUAGCUAGAGUCUUGUAGAGGGGGUAGAAUUCCAUGUGUAGCGGUGAAAUGCGUAGAGAUGUGGAGGAAUACCGGGUGGCGAAGGCGGCCCCUGGGACAAAGACUGACGCUCAUGUGCGAAAGCGUGGGGAGCAAACAGGAUUAGAUACC